rnacentral:rRNA from 1 species
CCUACGGGAGGCAGCAGUGGGGAAUAUUGGGCAAUGGGCGCAAGCCUGACCCAGCAACGCCGCGUGAAGGAAGAAGGCUUUCGGGUUGUAAACUUCUUUUCUCAGGGACGCAGAAAGUGACGGUACCUGAGGAAUAAGCCACGGCUACCUACGAGCCAGCAGCCGCGGCAAUACGUAGGUGGCAAGCGUUAUCCGGAUUUACUGGGUGUAAUGGGCGUGUAGGCGGGACUGCAAGUCAGCUGUGAAAACCACGGGCUCAACCUGUGGCCUGCAUUUGAAACUGUAGUUCUUGAGUACUGGAGAGGCAGACGGAAUUCCUGGUGUAGCGGUGAAAUGCGUAGAUAUUAGGAGGAACACCAGUGGCGAAGGCGGUCUGCUGGACAGCAACUGACGCUGAGGCGCGAAAGCGUGGGGAGCAAACAGGAUUAGAUACCCGGGUAGUC